CAAAACAAACCUAACCCUAAAAUCUUUAUUUCCCAAUCUUUUUUCUCCACUCUUCCUUGUUCUUCUUUCCACUGCGAAAAUGUCUCACUUCGGAAGGUCAGGCCCUCCCGACAUCACCGACACCUACUCUCUUCUCGUUCUCAAUAUCACCUUUCGCACGACUGCUGAUGAUUUAUUUCCGCUUUUCGACAAGUACGGGAAGGUCGUCGACAUCUUCAUUCCCAAAGAUCGAAGGACUGGUGAUUCUCGAGGUUUUGCAUUCGUGCGCUACAAGUAUGCAGAUGAGGCACAGAAAGCUGUUGAGAGGCUCGAUGGUAGAGUUGUCGAUGGUCGGGAGAUAACAGUUCAGUUUGCAAAAUACGGGCCUAAUGCAGAGAAGAUUCAGAAGGGAAGAAUCAUUGAAUCAUUUCCAAGGUCAAGACACAGGUCAAGAAGUCGCAGCCCUUAUAGAAGGCACCGGGAUGACCAUUACAAAGAUAGGGAUUAUAGGAGAAGAAGUCGCAGUAGGAGUUAUGACAGAUAUGAACGUGAUCGAUAUCGUGGGAAAGACAAAGACUAUCGACGCCGAAGCAGGAGCCAUAGUGCUAGUCCUGACUAUUCAAGAGGCCGAGGAAGAGGUCGCUAUGAUGAUGAUCGGCGGAGUGUCAGUCGAUCAAUGAGUGCUUCUCCUGCUCGCCGCAGCCCUAGUCCUCGGAAAAGUACUUCCCCACGCAAGGCAUCUCUCCCUAGGGGUGAAAGUCCUGAUAGACGUGUCCGUGAUGGACGGUCUCCAAGUCCUCGAAGUGUUUCACCACGAGGCCGUCCUGCUGGUUCUCGGAGCCCAUCUCCUCGAAACUCAGAUGUUGAUGAAUGAUCUUGCGGAUGGCAUGGGAAUUGCUGGAGUCUUUAAGUAGUGUGUUUCUUGUUGCUAUGUUGCUAGUGUUGAGGACAUUCAAAUAUUAUGCUUCUUCUAGUAUUGGUAGGACUGGGUUUUUUUGGUUUCUUAAUUGACUGUCCUGAACCUUGUCUCCAUUACUUAAGCUGUGUCAUGGUGUCUGAACUUAUGUGGUCUGUAGCUUGAUGUUUCAGUACCUGCCAAGAUUUUGUGAUCAAUGUUCGGGGAAAGUGUGCCUUGGGCAAAUGGACAUGAUGUGACAUGAUGUUGAUGUUGUGGCUGUUGAUGCUGUUUAUAUCUGUAGAUGAAUGAUCGUGAUUGUGAUGCUGGUUAUAGCAGUAUGCUGAUUGCAGGGACAGUUUGUUAACUAUUUUUAACUGAAACAUAUGAUGAUUGGUAAGAUCAGUAGUCAAGUAUUGGUUUCUGGAAAGCCUUGCAUCAGUCAGGUUUCUGAUGUUUCCAUCUGAUUAUCCUCUGGUCUGCUGAUUUCUAAAUAUUGGCACUGAGGUUUAGUUGCUGUGAUGGUAUAAAAGGACCCAAGAUGAAUUUCUUGAACUGUGGAAUGCAGCAUGUGAUGGACCUGUGAUGCAUUAGACCUGAUGCAGAUACUAAAAUUAAAAAUGUAAUGUCUUGGUCUGAAACUUGCGACUGCAUUAAUUGAACAGAAUAACUUGUUUCUGUUUAAUUGUUUCAUUGGUGUAUUCCAUUAAUCAUGUUUAACCACACCCUAUUGCUUAAUGUUUUGAGUUGUAGCAAAAUUGCCCGUGAGCUAGCUGUGAAGUGGUGGUUGUGCCAAUUCUGUUGUGAGAUACACUUAGCUUGUCGGUAACCAUUGAGUAUCAAUGAAUGACAUGUAGCAGGCUGUUGCUGCCUUUCUUGUUGGGUCACGAUGAUAAUGGUUCUUGCAGUUGCCUGGCUUUCUUGCUGGUCUGCUUGUAACUGGCUGUUGCUGCGCUUCCUGCAGGGUUGUGUCAGUUUUGGUACUAGCAGUGUUGGUAUGCAUCCAAUAUGCCACCCCUGUUCACAUGUUAGGGUUACAUUUAACUAUCAGUCUUUUUCUUUUAUUUGUUCUGAAAGAUCUUUGCAACUGUUAUACUCAUGACAUUGUGAUCUCGAACAGAUCACUUAUCUUUCAUUCUUAAUGUCAUUUUAUUAAUAGGGGCUUUCAUGCAUUUACUUGGACUCCUAGCUAGCUGAGGUGCUUAUAGAGUGAAAGCACAGAAAAAUUUAGGGAUGCUCUAUGGUGGUUAAACAUGUUAAAAGAAACGAAUAAAGGGAGGACUGCAGUUGCAGUUUUGAGCUGAAACCUCAAGCUAUACGUUAAAUGGUGUUGCUUUCUUUGAUCUUAUUGCAUGUCUGAUCCACAAAAUUCUGUUAAUAGGGAAAUUCACUGCCCACUUUUUUUUUUUUUGUAUUUUGCCUUAAUGGCUUUUCCAUUUGUUUUCUGAUAACUUUUAGAUGAACCCUCGAUGCUGUGACCCUACUGAAUUUGCUUUUGUUGGCACUAUGUUGAUUUGGCUUUGUAGUUUUGAAGUGCUUAAUUAGCGUUGAAUUUGCGUUCUGUUGUUCUUUUAUAGCUCUGAUGAUUCUGGCUCAUAACCAGACACUGUGAUGCUUGUGUGUGUUUUGUUUCUUCCAAUGACUUGAACGGUUAAUGGAGUUUGUUACUUUGUUUCAAGAGGGUACUUUGUAGUGACGCGUUGGUUGACUCUCAUUAGUUUAAGCGUUAAAUUACAAUUCCUUUUUUUUUU